rnacentral:pre_miRNA from 11 species
UCUUUGGAGACGAGGGUGGUCGAAAAUCCCGAAACAAGCCCCCAAAUGUAAGACCCCCCAGAGGGAAGAUCCUCACUCAAGUCUCAGAAUGAUGCGACCCCACAAGAACUCACGAGAGACC